UACGGGGGGGGCAAGCGUUGUUCGGAAUUACUGGGCGUAAAGGGUGCGUAGGCGGCGCGGUAAGUCGGGUGUGAAAUCUCGGAGCUUAACUCCGAAACUGCAUUCGAUACUGCCGUGCUUGAGGACUGGAGAGGAGACUGGAAUUUACGGUGUAGCGGUGAAAUGCGUAGAUAUCGUAAGGAAGACCAGUGGCGAAGGCGGGUCUCUGGACAGUUCCUGACGCUGAGGCACGAAGGUCAGGGGAGCAAACGGG
rnacentral:rRNA from 1 species